rnacentral:lncRNA from 1 species
UAAUUUCUUACAGUUCUGUUUCUUAGCCUCAGAAACAAGCUGGUUUCUUCCAGUGCUCGUCUUCCCCUGACUGCAUUGUGUAGCUGAUGGGGAAGGGAGAUGGGAGUCAAAGGAUCAGCAAGCCAGGAGACUCUGGGCUUCCUUUGAUUUAUAAAAGCACAUAGAUGAUACAAAUCCCAUUAGGUUGGUAGUAUGACACUUUCCCCCACCCCCAAACACAAGCUCAUCAGACCCCUUUGCAAACGGAUGCCCCCAAGCCUACAUACCUACGUAGGGCCAUAUACGUAGGGAGGGAAAGAGCCUAAGGGUUCUAAAGGGAGGAGAGGGACGCAGAGGAGUGUAGGGUCACUUUGAUAGAUGGGCAUAAGCAAGGGAGAGGGGGUUGCAGGAGAGGGAAAGCCAUAGUCACCUGUAGGUUGCUGGUGGUGGCUGUCCAUUGACUCAGCCAUGAUGUGGGAACUGCUUGGAUAGAGCUGGAGCCCUCUCUAGCUUAGGCAGAACCAGGUGAGCAAGAACACAUAGAUAGAUGGACGGGUGCAUAUGAGGCUGGGGGAUUGCUAUCUUGACUCUGCACUGUCUCAGCACAUCUGCUUUACUCUUAGGAGUAGAAACUCAGUUCCUCUACCAGGUGGGUAGUGCUUAACUUAGUGGGUAGGUGCCCAGCCCUUCCAUCUGAGAGCUCUCUGAAUAGCCACUUUGAUGUUUUUAUCAUAACGACCUUGAACAGGUGACCUAGCUUCUCUGAGACUGAUUCUUCUGAAUAGGGGAAUUUAUUUGGAGUGAUGCAGGCAGAUAAGCUAGCCUAGCAGAAGCUGGGAGAGGAAGUACUCAGGAGGCUGAGGCAGGAGGAUGACUAGAAUUCAAAUUUAGUGUGGGCUACACAUAGUGAUUGCCAGAUCGGCCAGAGCUAUGUAGUAAGACUAUUCUGUCCCACGGAAAGUAGGGGAGGGGCUGGAGAGAUGGUUCAGUGGUUAAGAACCCAUACUACUCUUGCAGAGGACCUGAGUUUAGUUUUCAGUACCUAUAUCAGGGUCUCAUAACUGCCUAUGACUCCAGCACCAGAGAGGUCAGAUGCAUCUGGCCUCUGUAGGCUCUGCACUCAUGCGUGUACUCACACAGAAAUUCACAAUUACAUAAAAUCUGUGAGUUCAAGAUCAUCCUUGUCUACUUAUUAAGUUCUAGGCCAUCCUGGGCUGCAUGAGAUCCUGUCUUAAAUUUAAAAAAGCUAACAACAACAACAACAACAAAAACCAACACACACACACACUAGAGCUCAGCCUACAACAAGGGGGCCACAAGGCUUCAAAGCACCAGCCAGAUGCAUGUACACAGCCUAUGGCUGGGAGCAGACAGCAUGUGAACCAGUGGCCCUAGAAUUGGACCAAGGGCAUUCCUAGCUCUAACCUGCCUUCAGUGAAUGGGUGGCUGAUGUCUGGGAGGACCAGAGGAGAGGGACCCAUGAAGGCUCCUGGCACUGAGCCCCAACCCUGGGCUUUCAGGGAACAAGGAGCUGGCCCUAGUCUGGGGCAAGGUGAAGGAAAACAUCAGACCCUUUUCUGCAGCCUCAACUAUCACCUAUUGUUGAGACUUAGAUGGCUCUGACGUCCUUAGACAAGGUCCAGACAAGGGAAGUCUAUAAAGAUUUAAUCGAGCACUGUGCAUGGGUGACCCUGGCUGCCUGUUCCUGUCCUCCAACCUGGGGAAAAGGAAGAGCUUUAUGAAGAUGCAGUAAGGGGCAGAAGUGGCAAAGGCUAUCUUCUUAGAGAAGCUCACGUUUAGCUAAGCUUGGGAGCAAAUGCUAACAUGGUCCCAGGCACAGCCUCACCAGGUUCUGAGGCUGGACCCUAGGAGAGAGGCUUCUCAGAGCUUGGCUGUUGUUUUAGGGAGAAGGAGCACUGGAGCCUCUUCCCUAAGCAGGCCUUUCCACAACUCCGGGAAGGAGGCCGGUCCAACCUGCUCGGCACCUCCCUCUGCUUGACCCCUGGCGCAGGCAUGCUGUUCAGUGUGUGCCUGAGCCUACACACCUGCACGGGCCUGUCUGGAGAUAGGCCGUUCCCACGGGCCGUGCAGUCAGUCCUGUGGAGUUACUGCCCAAGGGGUCUGAUGCGCUUCAGACAUCAUCCCUCACUCAUUGACUCAGGACAGCCCAGGUGGGGGUGAGGGUUGGGGUGGGGGUGGGGGUGGGCAGGCGUCACUCAAAGUGAGGAAGAUUCCUGAACGUUCUCAAGCUGGUUGCUGUAUUCUGUGACCCUUGGCUUGGAAGUCAUUGUAACCCUGAUUGCACACCCUUACCAAGCUCUCCUCUCCUCUUCUUUUCUCCAUUUUUCUUUUUGGUUUUUUUGUUUGUUUGUUUGUUUUAUUAUUUAUUUUGGUGGUGGUGGUAGAGAGUCUGCACUUGCUAGGGCAUGCAUGCGCAGGUCAGAGGACAGCCUAUAAGAGCCUGUUCUUUCAUUCCACCACCUGAGUCCCGGAAGUUCCUUAAUCUGCUGAGCAAUCUCUCUGUCUCUCUCUCUGUCUCUCUCUCUCUCUGUCUCUCUCUCUGUCUCUCUCUCUCUGUCUCUCUCUCUCUCUGUCUCUCUCUCUGUCUCUCUCUCUCUGUCUCUCUCUCUCUCUCUCUGUCUCUCUCUCUCUCUCUCUCUCUCUGUCUCUCUCUCUCUCUCUCUCUCUCUCUGUCUCUCUCUCUCUUUGUUUUUUGAGACCGGGUUUCUCUGAGUAGCCAGGCUGUCCUGGAACUCACUUUGUAGACCAGGCUGGCCUCGAACUCAGAAAUCCUCCUGCCUCUGCCUCCCAAGUGCUGGGAUUAAAGGUGUGUGCCACCACUGCCCGGCUGUCCUCUCUCUUUUUAAGAGGUGGUGUUACUAUGUAGACCAGAUAGGCCUGAAAUUUACCAUCAUCUCGAUUCUGUCUCCUGAGUGUAGAGAGUCACAGCCAGCUAGACUAGAGAGGUUUUAUUUGAAUACUCAUUGAUCAAGGAGGGUACUAUGGCGAGUCCUGUUGAACAGACAGGGAAACUGGGGCUCAGAGAAGUUAAGUCAGUGUGUGGUGCUGCUGUUUUUGUCUUUGAAAUGCUGAGGAUUGACCCCAGACAUCCUACACAAGUGCUGAGCCCCCCAGGCACACCAAGGAGUGGAAUGUGAAACCAAAACACCUGUUCCUAGAGUCCUAGCUUUUUACUGCUCCCUCUCCUUUCUGGAAGCUUCCCCCACACCUGCAUGCGAUCCCUUUAUUUCCUGUCUCUUGUCCUUCGCUUUCACACUCUCAAAUGCACCCUUGUCAUCAUCCCCUUCACCAUCCAUCAUUUCCUCGUUUCUCAUUUUAGUUCAAAACUAUAAUCCCCUGAGACUCAGGCUCAGCCCUACUCUGGAGGUCCCUCCUCCUCUAUCUUCCUCUUCCUCUUCAACAUCACCACACCCACUACCAUCGUGGAGGCUGCCUUUUGUAAAAUAUCUAACUGUGAUGGUGGCCGUACUUACAGAGCA